UACAUAAAGAAACAGGUUUCCGGUACAGACAAAUCUGUACGGGUCGGUACCGAUCAGCGCAGGUAUAAUAUUUCAAUAUAAUCCUAUUCACUCACUUAUAAAGAAACAGGUUGUAACUUGUCGGUGCCGACUACCUGGACCGUGCCAUACGGGUUUAAGCAUUUACUGGUGUAGGGUGUGUUUAAUAAUAUUAAAAAUGGAUUUGGAUAACGAAGUUUUGAUAGCCUUAGUGUUUGAUAAACAAUGUUUAUGGGACAAAACUCAUAAGUUCCACAGCAACAGAAAUUUCGAUGUCAAACUACUCUCAUUUAAGUAAUGUUUCCCGUAAUAGUACUCCAGAGACCUGCAACGAAAUAACUCUUCCACAAACUUCGAGUGACAAUAUUGCUGUUAUAAGCAACCAAUUAGCCACAGAAGAAUAUAUUUUUCAUUGUGAUUAAAACUACUUACAAAUAAAACAUACUAGCCUACUGAAUGAAUAAAGGUCAA